rnacentral:rRNA from 1 species
AUGCACGCUGGCGGCGUGCCUCAUCCCUGCAAGUCGAGCGAACAGAUGAGGAGCUUGCUCCUCUGACGUUAGCGGCGGACGGGUGAGUAACACGUGGAUAACCUACCUAUAAGACUGGGAUAACUUCGGGAAACCGGAGCUAAUACCGGAUAAUAUAUUGAACCGCAUGGUUCAAUAGUGAAAGACGGUUUUGCUGUCACUUAUAGAUGGAUCCGCGCCGCAUUAGCUAGUUGGUAAGGUAACGGCUUACCAAGGCGACGAUGCGUAGCCGACCUGAGAGGGUGAUCGGCCACACUGGAACUGAGACACGGUCCAGACUCCUACGGGAGGCAGCAGUAGGGAAUCUUCCGCAAUGGGCGAAAGCUUGACGGAGCAACGCCGCGUGAGUGAUGAAGGUCUUCGGAUCGUAAAACUCUGUUAUUAGGGAAGAACAAAUGUGUAAGUAACUAUGCACGUCUUGACGGUACCUAAUCAGAAAGCCACGGCUAACUACGUG